rnacentral:rRNA from 1 species
UACGUAGGGGGCAAGCGUUGUCCGGAAUCAUUGGGCGUAAAGCGCGUGUAGGCGGCUCGGUAAGUCCGCUCUGAAAGUCCAGGGCUCAACCCUGGGAUGCGGGUGGAUACUGCCGAGCUCGAGUCCGGAAGAGGCGAGUGGAAUUCCUGGUGUAGCGGUGAAAUGCGCAGAUAUCAGGAGGAACACCGGUGGUGUAGACGGCUUUCUGGACCGUAACUGACGCUGAGACACGAAAGCGUGGGUAGCAAACAGG